rnacentral:misc_RNA from 1 species
UGGGGUUUCUGGAUUUGUGGGGUUAGGAGGGUUUGGGAAUUUGAGGGGUGUGUUUGAAUGGAAUGGAUUAAAAUUGGAACUGGAUGAGACUAGUUUUGAGUUUGGAACUUUGUAUGAGAUUGAGUGCGAAAGCAAUGAUCCAGAUGGAGCCAAGAAAAUGCUUGAGGACCUACUGAAGGAGAAUGGAAUUGCGUACUCCUACUCAGAGGCUUCAAAGUUUGCGAUUUUUCGAUCUGGGAAGCUGCCAUAUUAGAGAGAUAUCGGUCGUGUGGCUUCCAAGACGACUA